rnacentral:rRNA from 1 species
UACAGAGGGGGCAAGCGUUGUUCGGAAUUACUGGGCGUAAAGGCGCGUAGGCGGCCUGCUAAGUCGAACGUGAAAUCCCUGGGCUCAACCCAGGAACUGCGUCCGAUACUGGUUGGCUUGAAUCCGGAGAGGGACGUGGAAUUCCAGGUGUAGCGGUGAAAUGCGUAGAUAUCUGGAGGAACACCGGUGGCCGAAGGCGACGUCCUGGACCGGCAUUGAC